rnacentral:rRNA from 1 species
CGGUCUAAUUCCCUUGGAACAGGCGUCAUAGAGGGUGAGAAUCCCGUCUGCGACUCGGCCGCCAACCCCGUGUGAAAUCCCUUCGACGAGUCGAGUUGUUUGGGAAUGCAGCUCAAAAUGGGUGGUAAAUUUCAUCUAAAGCUAAAUACCGGCCAGAGACCGAUAGCGCACAAGUAGAGUGAUCGAAAGAUGAAAAGCACUUUGGAAAGAGAGUUAAACAGUACGUGAAAUUGUUGAAAGGGAAGCGCUGGCGACCAGACCUGUCCCCGGGCGAUCAUCGGCCAUUCGUGGCCGUGCACUCGCCCGGACGCAGGCCAGCAUCGGUUGCGGCGGCGGGACAAAGCGCCCGGGAACGUAUCUUCUCUCGGGGAGCGUUAUAGCCCGGGUGGYCAUGCCGCCCGCCGCGACCGAGGACCGCGCUUCGGCUAGGAUGCUGGCGUAAUGGUCGUCAGCGACCCGUCUUGAAACACGGACCAAGGAGUCUACCAUCUAUGCGAGUGUUUGGGUGUCAAACCCAGGCGCGGAAUGAAAGUGAACGGAGGUGAGACCCCGCAAGGGCGCAUCAUCGACCGAUCCAGAUGUCUUCGGAUGGAUUUGAGUACGAGCAUGGCUGGUGGGACCCGAAAGAUGAUGAACUAUGCCUGAAUAGGGUGAAGCCAGAGGAAACUCUGGUGGAGGCUCGCAGCGGUUCUGACGUGCAAAUCGAUCGUCAAAUUUGGUAUAGGGGCGAAAGACCAAUCGAAUCAUCUAGU